AUUGAACGCUGGCGGCAUGCCUUACACAUGCAAGUCGAACGGUAACGCGGGGCAACCUGGCGACGAGUGGCGAACGGGUGAGUAAUGCAUCGGAACGUGCCCAGUAGUGGGGGAUAGCCCGGCGAAAGCCGGAUUAAUACCGCAUACGACCUACGGGUGAAAGGGGGGGAUCGCAAGACCUCUCGCUAUUGGAGCGGCCGAUGUCAGAUUAGGUAGUUGGUGGGGUAAAGGCCUACCAAGCCGACGGUCUGUAGCGGGUCUGAGAGGACGACCGGGCAACCGGGACUGAGACACGGCCCAGACUCCGACGGGAGGAAGCAGUGGGGAAUGUUGGACAAUGGGGGCAAGCCUGAUCCAGCCAUGCGGCGUGCGGGAAGAAGGCCUUCGGGUUGUAAACCGCUUUUGUCAGGGAAGAAAUCUUCUGGGUUAAUACCUCGGGAGGAUGACGGUACCUGAAGAAUAAGCACCGGCUAACUACGUGCCAGCAGCCGCCGUAAAAC
rnacentral:rRNA from 1 species